rnacentral:rRNA from 1 species
AGCUCCAAUAGCGUAUAUUAAAGUUGUUGCGGUUAAAAAGCUCGUAGUUGGAUCUCGGCGGGCCGGGGGUGGUUCGCUCUUCAGCGCUACUGCCCCGCCUUGCCCGCGAGAUUGGGGGAGGCUUCUGGGGGCUCUUCGUUUUGGGACUCGGAGCGCCGUCAGGUUUACUUUGAAAAAAUUAGAGUGCUCAAAGCAGGCUUUUCACGCUUGAAUAUUCGUGCAUGGAAUAAUGGAAUAGGAACUCGUUUCUAUUUUGUUGGUUUUCGGAAAUCGAGUUAAUGAUUAACAGGGACAAUUGGGGGCAUUAGUAUUCAGACGACAGAGGUGAAAUUCUUGGACCGUCUGAAGACUGACUACUGCGAAAGCAUUUGCCAAGAGUGUUUUCA